GAUGAACGCUGGCGGCGUGCCUAAUACAUGCAAGUCGAGCGAACAGACGAGGAGCUUACUCCUCUGACGUUAGCGGCGGACGGGUGAGUAACACGUGGAUAACCUACCUAUAAGACUGGGAUAACUUCGGGAAAGCGGAGCUAAUACCGGAUAACAUGUUGAACCGCAUGGUUCAACAGUGAAAGACGGUCUUGCUGUCACUUAUAGAUGGAUCCGCGUCGCAUUAGCUAGUUCGUAAGGUAACGGCUUACCAAGGCAACGAUGCGUAGCCGGCCUGAGAGGACGAACAGCCACACUGGGACUGAGACAAGGCCCAGACUCCUACGGGAGGCAGGAGGGGGGAAUUUUGGACAAUGGGCGAAAGCCCGAUCGAGCAAUGCCGCGGGUGGGAAGAAGGCCUUCGGGUUGGAAAACACUUUUGUCCGGAAAGAAAUAAUUGACUCUAAAACAGUCGGGGUAUGACGGUACCCGAAGAAUAAGCACCGGCUAACUUCGGG
rnacentral:rRNA from 1 species